GUGGGUGAUACGGCUUUCGGGUGAGAAGGUUCUGGAGAUUUCACUCGUUUUGGAGACUUAACUGCUUCUGGGGAUUUCACCCGAGGCUCUGGGGAUUUGACUCUUGGUGGUGAUGUCACAGCCUUUUCAGUUACCCUGGCCUUUUGAAUAGUCAGAGUGAACUCUGCUUCUUGUUUCCCUUCACUGUUUUCUACCACCACGCUGUAAUUGCCCUCAUCGGAAGCCUGGACUGAAGAGAUCUCAAAGAUGCAGAGUGUUCAUAUGAGGAGAGACUUUCCCUUGUCUCCGUCAUCUGUGAUUUCACUUCCCUGACAGAAGACGAAGCUUCCAUCUCAGAUGUUUUCUUAAAUGAUGAAACAGCAUACGCCUCUGUUCUUGUCAGCUCAGGGAAAACAGAUCUGGGGACCUCUUCAUCUCUGCGUUGGGAAGCAUAGGUGGUAUAAUCCCCUCCUGUCACGUCCAACGUUGCAUAGUCAGAAGCUUCGCCCUUGUAGUUGG
ensembl:lncRNA TTN-AS1 TTN antisense RNA 1